ACGGGAGGCAGCAGUGGGGGAUAUUGCACAAUGGGGGAAACCCUGAUGCAGCGACGCCGCGUGAGUGAUGAAGUAUUUCGGUAUGUAAAGCUCUAUCAGCAGGGAAGAAAAUGACGGUACCUGACUAAGAAGCUCCGGCUAAAUACGUGCCAGCAGCCGCGGUAAUACGUAUGGAGCAAGCGUUAUCCGGAUUUACUGGGUGUAAAGGGAGCGUAGACGGUGACGCAAGUCUGAAGUGAAAGGUGUGGGCUCAACCCGGAAACUGCUUUGGAAACUGUGUGACUAGAGUGUCGGAGAGGUAAGUGGAAUUCCUAGUGUAGCGGUGAAAUGCGUAGAUAUUAGGAGGAACACCAGUGGCGAAGGCGGCUUACUGGACGAUAACUGACGUUGAGGCUCGAAAGCGUGGGGAGCAAACAGGAUUAGAUACCCUGGUA
rnacentral:rRNA from 1 species